UACGAAGGGGGCGAGCGUUGUUCGGAAUUACUGGGCGUAAAGGGCGCGUAGGCGGCCCCUUUUGUCGCGUGUGAAAGCCCCGGGCUCAACCUGGGAACGACGCGCGAAACGGGGGGGCUUGAGUUCGGGAGAGGAGAGUGGAAUUCCCAGUGUAGAGGUGAAAUUCGUAGAUAUUGGGAAGAACACCGGUGGCGAAGGCGGCUCUCUGGACCGAGACUGACGCUGAGGCGCGAAAGCGUGGGGAGCAAACAGG
rnacentral:rRNA from 1 species